CAGUCGCCGCGGUAAUACGUAGGUGGCAAGCGUUGUCCGGAAUUAUUGGGCGUAAAGGGCUCGCAGGCGGUUUCUUAAGUCUGAUGUGAAAGCCUCCGGCUCAACCGGGGAGGGUCAUUGGAAACUGGGAAACUUGAGUGCAGAAGAGGAGAGUGGAAUUCCACGUGUAGCGGUGAAAUGCGUAGAGAUGUGGAGGAACACCAGUGGCGAAGGCGACUCUCUGGUCUGUAACUGACGCUGAGGAGCGAAAGCGUGGGGAGCGAACAGGAUUAGAUACCCCUGUAGUCCAUGUCUCUUAUAC
rnacentral:rRNA from 1 species